UACAGAGGUCUCAAGCGUUGUUCGGAUUCAUUGGGCGUAAAGGGUGCGUAGCGGCGCGGUAAGUCGGGUGUGAAAUCUCGGAGCUUAACUCCGAAACUGCAUUCGAUACUGCCGUGCUUGAGGACUGGGAGAGGAGACUGGAAUUUACGGUGUAGCGGUGAAAUGCGUAGAUAUCAGGAAGAACACCUAUGGCGAAGGCAGCUCUCUGGGACGGUACUGACGCUGAGGUGCGAAAGCGUGGGGAGCAAACAGG
rnacentral:rRNA from 1 species